GUGCCGACUGCAGCUUGUUCUCCUAAUCUUCUUGUUUCGCGCAUACAAUAAUCAUUCUACAGUCAGGACCAGACGUUGUAAUUACAUGUGAAACAGUUUCAGGUUCGGCUUGACAUCUUGGACAAAUAGGAGUGGCUGCAACACGCCUCGUAUAGAUUCACAUAAGUAGACCUAGUUAUGUAAUAAUCUCCAGGUCACGAUUUUGAUCUUAGAAGGGACCGGAGUGUUCCGUAGUUUCUUGUAUAUUGUUCUAUCGUCAGCAUUAACCGUAGUUUCUUGUAUAUUGUUCUAUCGUCAGCAUUAGGAAUAGAUAUCAUAGGGUCCGUAUUUAGAAGUCUAUAUCCAGUCUUCGCUUGC